GCGAGAGUAGUUCAAUGGUAAAAUAUCUCCUUCCCAAGGAGAAGAUACGGGUUCGAUUCCCGCCGCUCGCC
rfam:Triticum aestivum genome assembly, contig: Triticum_aestivum_CS42_TGACv1_scaffold_249835_3DL